rnacentral:tRNA from 1 species
ACAGUGGUGGUUCACUGGUAGAAUUCUAGCCUUCCAUGCAGGAGACUCAGGGUUGAUUCCCAGCCAAUGUA